GUUAGACUGGAUCGACCCCUUUUGGGGAAAGCCGAACAGCAAUGAGAUGAUAUUGAGUUGCUCGGCUUUGUUUCCACUGUCCAGGGAUCAACGGAGGGUUAUAGGUUUUUUCCAGUGAAUCCUUAAACCCUGACACUGGUUGGGCUUUUCAAAAGUGAGGCAGAUUCUUGGGACAUGUCAGAAGAUUCUCACCAUUUGAUUAGAGGUGAUGGGCAAAUGAGUUGAGAUAAUGUCUUUGCCAAUUUGACAUGCAUCAAGAUAGAUAGGGGCGGAGCAGCGAGAGCAAAAGUGUAUAUUGUGGGGGCAACACAAAUAAUAAUUGAACCAUCAGAGAAAAGGGUCAGUAAAAUUGUAUCCUUGCAAUCUAAGGGUUGUUCUGGUUUUGUGUUCUGUAAUACAUCACUUAACUGUAGUGCAGUUGUCCACUCACUGAAACAGCGAAAGUGUACUAUCAUCAGUUGAUCUUGUUGUAUCAUUCAUUUGGCAUAGUUUUUAUGUAAUUUUGAUUUUUCUUCGCAUGCCCAACGAAAGAAAAGAAUCCUGUUAUCCCUUCAAGAAAUCUUGAUAAAUUAUAUUUCUUAUAACUGAUAAAUAGUAGUUUUUUGUCUA